rnacentral:rRNA from 1 species
AGGACGAACGCUGGCGGCGUGCUUAACACAUGCAAGUCGAGCGGAAAGGCCCUUCGGGGUACUCGAGCGGCGAACGGGUGAGUAACACGUGAGCAACCUGCCCUUAGCUUCGGGAUAGCUCCGGGAAACCGGAAUUAAUACCGAAUAUGACUUUGGCCGACAUCUGCUGUGGUGGAAAGGAUUCCGGCUAAGGAUGAGCUCGCGGCCUAUCAGCUAGUUGGUGAGGUAACGGCUCACCAAGGCGACGACGGGUA